CAGUAGCCGCGGUAAUACGAGGGGGGCAAGCGUUGUUCGGAUUUAUUGGGCGUAAAGGGUGCGUAGGCGGUUUGGCAAGUCUUGCGUGAAAUCUUCGGGCUCAACCCGAAGCCUGCACGAGAAACUACCGGGCUUGAGUAUUGGAGAGGUGAGUGGAAUUUCCGGUGUAGCGGUGAAAUGCGUAGAGAUCGGAAGGAACACCUGUGGCGAAAGCGGCUCACUGGACCAUUUCUGACGCUGAUGCACGAAAGCUAGGGGAGCAAACAGGAUUAGAUACCCCAGUAGUCCCUGUCUCUUAUAC
rnacentral:rRNA from 1 species